UACAGAGGUGGCGAGCGUUAAUCGGAAUUACUGGGCGUAAAGCGUGCGUAGACGGUUAUUUAAGUCGGGUGUGAAAGCCCCGGGGCUCAACCUGGGAAUUGCAUUCGAGACUGAAUAGCUAGGGUACGGUAGAGGGAAGUGGAAUUUCCGGUGUAGCGGUAGAAAUGGCGUAGAUAUCGGAAGGAACACCAGAGGCGAAGGCGGCUACCUGGACAAUUGACUGACGCUCAGGCA
rnacentral:rRNA from 1 species